CGCCUCCCUCCGCUCGCUGGACGCUCCGCCACCCUCCCGCCCGACUGCCCGCCGGCUGCCGCAGGAACCCCUGGAUAAAAUCCAGCUCAACCAUGUCUGAGGAAACAGACCCAGGCUCCCCAGAGCGGUUAACCCGCCUGCCUCUGGGCAGAGACUAUUUGCUUAUUGACAGCUACUGGAACAAAAAGAUGAGAUGAAUAAAGCACACUAAUUAUCCAAAGGGUGUCCUGUGACUAAAAGCAUGUGAGCUGCUCCCCAGGCUGAGCUUUGACCCUCCCAAGCACUUCCCCAAAGGCCAUGACACUGCAUCGGAUUGCUCCUGGACACUUUCCUCCGAGUUUUCAACAAAUAUAAACUCAGGAAUGGAACACAGCACCAGACUUGCUAAUCGAGAGGCAAUGGUCACAGCCCAGAUGGGUGCUGUGCAUGGAUACAGGGCUCAGGAGAUGGGAAGCAGGUACAUGAACAUUGGGAAUUGCAAAAUUGUGCUGGAGCAAUAGACCAACAGCCAUUAAUGUUUGUCGAGGCAAAGAUCCUAAAAUAUACAAGUGUGGAUUUGUCCUGUCGUCAGAACUGAAGCUGUGACAGUCACACUGCCAAGGAUCAAUAUUUCCAGCAAAGGAGUCAACACUCAAGAUACACUGCUACGUCUCGCUUUUUCCUUGACACAACAAUUUAUUUUAUAAAUGCAUCUGCUGGAGAGGAAAAGGCAGCACCAAGGAUUGUGUCUUUUAUCUCCAGGAUAUGCAAAGCGCAUUUAUUUUCAGCUUUUAUCUCUGGAAUUGUAUGUUGAUCCCAUACAUAUAGAUUGAUUUUGUUCAGGUAGAUAAUGAAAAGUCAAGUGGAAAAUUACACAAUGUCACUCACGAUCCUAGUCUUAUAUCGGUAUAUAAAUUGGUUUAUUAUUUCAUUCUAUUAAAGAGGCUUUUUUUCUUUUUUUUUUUUUUAGUACCAGGAAAACUUCAAAAUACAUUGUGUUGUCAGCCUCGCUGAAUUUUCUUUUGGAGGAGGAGAUGGGGCGGAGAAGCUGAAGCCUCGAUUUCUCCUGCUCCUUUUGCUAAUUGUAUUGGUUAAAUGAACUUUCACAGAGGGGGGUCCUGGCUGCUUUUUGCGUCCCCCAGCCCUCUUGUGGGUUGCACACGGGGCUUCCGUAACUCUUUCUGGGUCAAGACAAAGAUAUCCGCCAUGCACAUCCUGUGACAUAGGUAGAUAUUUAUUUCACCCCAGGCAAUUCUAAAUUUUGUCACGAUGACUGAAAGAGGCAACCCCCCUCCUUAGCACUAAGAGGCCAGGGGCGAGAGGGUGGCAGCAUAGAAAAGCCGCGGCCCAGAGACAGCUUGGAGCCACAGUCCUGGAGGAAAUGUUAUUAAUAAACAUCUUUUGGACAUUUGGUAGCCCACGGAGCUUGCUCCAGCUUAAAGCAAUUAAUUCAGGACACUGACAUAAACUCUCCAGAUCUUUGACAGCUUGGAGCCGAAAUAAAAAUGCUAGUUCUCCCGGGAAGAGAAGAGGGUGGCUAGCCCUUUUCUGGACUGUUUGCUUAUCGGCCCAGAGAGCAACCUUCCUUGCAGAAUGAAAUGCAAGGGCACAAACAAUGUACCAGGGAGAGAAUAGAAGAUGGGAAUGAACAGUUUGAACUAUUUGCUCAGCAGAAGGGCACCACAAGGCUGGGCUAGUGGUUUUCCCAUGCGUCCACCGUCCCUUCUUUAGGAUCUUUUGUUGUCCCCUGUCUCCUUUGGCCAGAUAAGAGCACAGCUGCAGCAUUGCAGCUAACAAGUAAGGCUUGUGCUUAUCUUCCUAAAUCUCGGGGUGCCUUUACUGUAACAAGUUAUGCUUGGCUUUCUUUUAUUUUAUAAAAGGAUGGUGAGGGAGGGAAUGAAGGAACAGAUGGGGCAGGCAUAUAGGACAUUGACAUUGCCUGUGUCUGAUUUGUGGUUUCUUCUUUCUUUUCUUUUUUCCCC